rnacentral:rRNA from 1 species
AUACGGAGGGUGCAAGCGUUGUUCGGAAUCACUGGGCGUAAAGGGCGCGCAGGCGGUUUGAUUAGUCAGAUGUGAAAGCCCACGGCUUAACCGUGGAAGUGCAUUUGAAACUGUCAGACUUGAGUAUCAGAGGGGAAAGUGGAAUUCCCGGUGUAGAGGUGAAAUUCGUAGAUAUCGGGAGGAAUACCGGUAGCGAAGGCGACUUUCUGGCUGAAUACUGACGCUGAGGCGCGAAAGCGUGGGGAGCAAACAGGAUUAGAAACCCGGGUAGUCC